rnacentral:rRNA from 1 species
UACAAUCACUGAAGUUAAGCAACGUCGAGCUUGGUCAGUACUUAGAUGGGUGACCGUUUGGGAAUUCCAGGUGCUGUAAG